rnacentral:rRNA from 1 species
AUUGAACGCUGGCGGCAGGCCUAACACAUGCAAGUCGAGCGGUAGAGAGAAGCUUGCUUCUCUUGAGAGCGGCGGACGGGUGAGUAAUGCCUAGGAAUCUGCCUGGUAGUGGGGGAUAACGUUCGGAAACGGACGCUAAUACCGCAUACGUCCUACGGGAGAAAGCAGGGGACCUUCGGGCCUUGCGCUAUCAGAUGAGCCUAGGUCGGAUGAGCUAGCUGGUGGGGUAAUGGCUCACCAAGGCGACGAUCCGUAACUGGUCUGAGAGGAUGAUCAGUCACACUGGAACUGAGACACGGUCCAGACUCCUACGGGAGGCAGCAGUGGGGAAUAUUGGACAAUGGGCGAAAGCCUGAUCCAGCCAUGCCGCGUGUGUGAAGAAGGUCUUCGGAUUGUAAAGCACUUUAAGUUGGGAGGAAGGGCAGUAAAUUAAUACUUUGCUGUUUUGACGUUACCGACAGAAUAAGCACCGGCUAACUCUGUGCCAGCCGCCGCAGUAA